rnacentral:rRNA from 1 species
ACUAGCAGUAAGAGUUUGAUCAUGGCUCAGAACGAACGCUGGCGGCAUGCCUAACACAUGCAAGUCGAACGAGACCUUCGGGUCUAGUGGCGCACGGGUGCGUAACGCGUGGGAACCUGCCUUGAGGUUCGGAAUAACUCCCCGAAAGGGGUGCUAAUACCGGAUGAUGUCUUCGGACCAAAGAUUUAUCGCCUUUAGAUGGGCCCGCGUUGGAUUAGCUAGUUGGUGGGGUAAAGGCCUACCAAGGCGACGAUCCAUAGCUGGUCUGAGAGGAUGAUCAGCCACACUGGGACUGAGACACGGCCCAGACUCCUACGGGAGGCAGCAGUGGGGAAUAUUGGACAAUGGGCGAAAGCCUGAUCCAGCAAUGCCGCGUGAGUGAUGAAGGCCUUAGGGUUGUAAAGCUCUUUUACCAGGGAUGAUAAUGACAGUACCUGGAGAAUAAGCUCCGGCUAACUCCGUGCCAGCCGCCGCGGUAAUUC